rnacentral:tRNA from 1 species
GGUGGAGUGUCCGAGUGGCUAAAGGAGGCAGACUGUAAAUCUGUUGGCUAACGCCUACGCUGGUUCGAAUCCAGCCUCCACCACCA